rnacentral:rRNA from 1 species
GACGAACGCUGGCGGCGUGCCUAAUACAUGCAAGUCGAACGAGCGCUACCGGUGCUUGCUCUGGUCAAUCUAGUGGCGAACGGGUGAGUAACACGUGGGUAACCUGCCCAUCAGAGGGGGAUAACAUCCGGAAACGGAUGCUAAAACCGCAUAGGUCUUCGCACCGCAUGGUUUGAAGAGGAAAAGCGGCGCAAGCUUCUGCUUAUGGAUGGACCCGCGGUGCAUUAGCUAGUUGGUGAGGUAACGGCUCACCAAGGCAGUGAUGCAUAGCCGACCUGGGGGGGGGAUGGCCAAAAUGGGGACUGAGACACGGCCAGACCUCCUACGGGAGGCAGCAGUAGGGAAUCUUCCGCAAAGGACGAAAGUCGGACGGAGCAACGCCGGGUGAGUGAGGAAGGUUUUCGGAUCGUAAAACUCUGUUGUUAGGGAAGAACAAGUGCGAGAGUAAAUGUUAGCGCCUUGACGGUAUCUAACCAGAAAGCCACGGCUAACUACGUG